AAAUCAUUGUUUACAUUGCAAUGUCUAUAAGCAUGCAUACAAAUGCGAAUGGACUUAAUCGUAUAUUCUCUUCAGCAGAACAUUAUCAAUAAUCCAACAGUUGAUUGAUCAAUAUGAUUUUGCAUAUUUGAAUAAGAAAGAGAGCCUAAUCAACUCUCGACAUCGAUUUCUGUCGACGAGGGUAAUUUGGCAUUUGAUAUUUACGAGUUGCCAUGAGUGCUUUUAUCCGUUGCCGUAAUGUGAUUUGUCGUUUCUAUUUGUAUUCAGCGCACAGCCAUCGAAUUGCUUAGAUGCUAGAUCGGAAGAGAGGUUCA